rnacentral:rRNA from 1 species
CAGUAGCCGCGGGAAUACAGAGGGUGCGAGCGUUAAUCGGAUUUACUGGGCGUAAAGCGUGCGUAGGCGGCUUUUUAAGUCGGAUGUGAAAUCCCUGAGCUUAACUUAGGAAUUGCAUUCGAUACUGGGAAGCUAGAGUAUGGGAGAGGAUGGUAGAAUUCCAGGUGUAGCGGUAAAAUGCGUAGAGAUCUGGAGGAAUACCGAUGGCGAAGGCAGCCAUCUGGCCUAAUACUGACGCUGAGGUACGAAAGCAUGGGGAGCAAACAGGAUUAGAUACCCCAGUAGUCCCUGUCUCUUAUAC